rnacentral:lncRNA from 1 species
GUUGACGGGGUCAGCAAGGUGGUCAGCGAGGUUCUCGAGCAGGCCUUUGCCUGUGACGAUGGCCUGUACGAAGAAGCCGAACAUGGAAAACAGCAAGGCGGCCAUUCUUGAGCUCCUUUACCUUGAGCUCGGCGAAUGCCUCUAGGUCAUCAGCCAAGCCGAGUGGGUCGAAGCUACUGCCGGGGUAGAGAGGGUCAACGAUCUCACCAAGCGGGCCACCGGCAACACGGUAUCCCUCAACGGUGCCCAUGAGCACAACCUGGCAAGCCCAUAUGGCCAGGAUGCUCUGCGCAUGGACAAGGCUCGGGUUGCCGAGGUAGUCAAGGCCACCCUCACUGAAGAUCUAGGAGCCGGCCUUGAACCAGACGGCCUCGCCGAACUUCACGCCAUUGUGAGCGAGAAGCUCAGGGAAGACACAACCGAGGGCACCAAGCAUGGCCCAGCGGGAAUGGAUCACCUCCAACUCCCUGUUCUUGGCAAAGGUCUCAAGAUCAGGGUCUCAAGAUCAGCCGAGAGCCCGGCGGUGUCCCACCCGUAGUCACCAGGAAACUCACCGGUCAGGUAGCUCGGGGGCUCGUCAGAGAGCGGGCCGAGGUACAACACGCGGUCAGAGCCGUACCACGGGCUACCCGAGGACACCGGCUUGGCCUUGGCAGCGGUCUUCCGCAUGGUGACCCGGGCCUCGCCGAAGAGAGCUGCCGACGGCAGGUUCUUCACCGUAUUGCCGGCAAAGGCCGAGGAAGAAAGAGACAUGGUGGUGGCCGCCAUUGCACUUGCUUUUAAGACCGGUGGUUGCUGACCUCCGUGCUCUCCAAUAGUAUUGGAUGAGUGUGAAGAACUGGAGAUGGUAUCAGAAGAGAGGAGGAUGGAGCUAGUUAAAGGAGUGAGAAAGAACGGAGGGGAUUGCCCGGUACGGUGCUGGCAAGGGGGAGAGAGCCUGAAAAAUCUGAAGCUGCGUUGCCAUUGGUGCACAGUUGGCGCAGCAAGGGCCUCAUGUGGAUAUACGAUAAAGUUGUGGGUAGGGCUAAGAGGAGUCCCCGUGGAGAUGUGUGAUUGGGCUGAGUUUGAUGAACAAUCGCACAGGGACACAAGUGAUUUGCGCUGCAUAAACUGUCAUAGCUAUUCUGAUCCGCUUUAUUUGCUUCUUAUACAGACUCUGUAAACUUGGCCUGUACUAGCUAACUGACGCCUAAAUGAAAAUGAAAAUACCAGACAGAACGAGUCUUACUGACGUGCCAUCCCACGGUGUUGAUCGUGUCCUGGUCAUGCCGCCAUUGACGCUUGAUUCGUGCCAUCCCACGAAGCAGUCAAAGGCGGCGCACUAAAGCAGCUGACUAACAAGUAGUGACUCAGGCAAGACCGCAAGACACGAACAAACACGUGCCAGAUGCCUGUUUAUUCAGUUACUGAACUUACUGAAGAAAAAUGACACCGACAACAACAUUACGGUGAACAGUACAUUAAGUAUUACUGCUUAUUCAUUAUUGCUUUGUGGUCAUUGUCUUUUGACGUUUUCUGUGGAAUACCUAUUUUUAAUUUCUCUCUUCCUCAUGAUUAGUAUGACGCAAUAAGUUAAUGGAAAUGAUUCAGGGAUAUGAGACUGUAAUUGUUCAAGGAGAUUAUUGGGUUGGUAAUUCAGGAUAUUUUUGAUACGAUGAUUCUUUCCAUUCUUAGUUUGUUUCAUGGUAAACGACCAAUUAGUGAAAGUGACCUCUUAAUGAGGGCCUCGUUUUCAUAUAUACACAUGUCGAAAAGCUGGUGGGUAGAUCUUGUGGUAAUAGACAUGAUCCUCUAGUUUUUAACUCUGAGUUUAUGUAUUCUAUAUCCGACAAUUGGCGGCGUGCUCAGUUUUGUAUGCGAUUGGUAAGCACAUGUCAUUGGUUACAAUAAGUGCAAAACAUACGUCAGAGAGUAUUGUUCUGAUAAAAUACCAAAUGGCUAGAUGCAGAAUAUCAGAGAGUAAAGUGGCCUUCGAAUCAAACAAUCUUUUUCAUGAGAUCCUCGUUGUAUACAUCAUCAUCAUGGUAGUACAAAUCACACCAGCUAUCCACACUUCAUAGUUGCAUGGUCGAUCUCGUUGACUACUUGCCGGGGACGAAGUUGGUGGCGAAGGCCCACGCAUUGUUGUUGACAGGGUCAGCAAGGUGGUCGGCGAGGUUCUCAAGUGGGCCCUUGCCGGUGACAAUGGCCUGUACAAAGAAGCCGAACAUGGAGAACAUGGCGAGACGGCCAUUCUUGAUCUCCUUCACCUUGAGCUCUGCGAAUGCCUCGGGGUCGUCGGCAAGGCCGAGUGGGUCAAAGCUGCCGCCGGGGUAGAGAGGGUCAACGAUCUCGCCGAGCGGGCCACUGGCAACACGGUAUCCCUCGACGGCGCCCAUGAGAACGACCUGGCAGGCCCAAAUGGCGAGGAUGCUCUGGGCAUGGACGAGGCUCGGGUUGCCGAGGUAGUCAAGGCCCCCCCUCAGUGAAGAUCUGAGAGCCGGCCUUGAACCAGACGGCCUCGCCGAACUGAACACCAUUGCGGGCGAGAAGCUCAGGGAAGACGCAACCGAGCGCGCCAAGCAUGGCCCAACGACAGUGGAUCACCUCAAGCUCGCGGUUCUUGGCAAAGGUCUCGGGGUCCGCUGAGAGCCCGGCGGUGUCCCACCCAUAGUCGCCGGGAAACUCACCGGUUAGGUAACUCGGGGGCUCGCCAGAGAGCGGGCCGAGGUACAGCACACGGUCGGAGCCGUACCACGGGCUGCUCGAGGAGAUUGGCUUGGCCUUGGCGGCGGUCUUGCGCAUGGUGCCCCGGCCUCACCGAAGAGAGUCGAUGACGGCAUGUUCUUCACCGUCUUGCCAGCGAAGGCCGAAGAAGAGAGAGACAUGGUAGUGGCUGCCAUUGCGCUAGCUCUUAAAACGGUGGUGGUCGAACUCUAUGCUUCUAAUAGUAUUCUGUGAGUGUGAAGGACUGAAGAUGGAUUCAGAAGGGAGGAGGAGGGAGCUACUUAAAGAAGUGAGAAGAGAAGACAGAGGGAAUUGAUCUGUGCUGGCAAGAGAGACACAGCCUGAGAAAUCUGAUGCCACCAUCUCAUUGGUGCAGCGGCCAUCCGGGUACAGUUGGCGCAGGGACAUCCUCAAGGGGAUGGGAUAUAGUCGUGGGUAGGGCUUGGGGAUUCUGCAUGUGCACUACAAUUUGUUGUACAACUAAUAAGUUAUUGAGUUUAAUCAGUUAUUGAGGAUUCUGCAUGUGCACUUACAAUUUGUUGUACAACUAAUAAGUGUUAAUUUGCUUCCUCCGAAGGUAAUAGUCAAAAGAAGUUUUUUGUUGGUAAACUGAUAGUAAACAUGCUCGAUCAACAUGUAUUGUCCACAUAUGGAGUUAAAAAUGAAUUAGCCAGUCGUGGGGCCAUAAUUUAGCCUUUGCUCAUGUACAUAGUAACUUUAUAUAAUCCGUGCUUUUAUAGUAUUGACCGUGACGGGGUGAAACCAGAUGGCACGAUCCACCUGUAAGAACAAAAGGAUUCGGGUUAAAAGCUUUAGUGGGAUCAUUAGUGACUGAACUUUUGCUAAAUGGGGUCAAAAAAGAAAUCACACUAAAUGAAACCAAAGCUGUAAGAAACAUAAAUUGAGGGGUCAAAAAAUAGAAUUCACUCUUUUAUGAACGUGUGAGGAAAGAAAUUAUUUCAUAAUUAAUGAAAAUAAAAGUCAGCGGAAUGGGGAACAUUGUUACGCGAGGUUAUUGGGUUUGAGUAAUUUAGAUGAUUGUUUUUAAUCUUUGCUUGUAUAAUAAAAACAUCAUUUUUAUUUUGGCGUGCAGAAAAGAUGACAGAUAGAUCUUGUGAUCACAGAUAUGAUGCUCUAAUUGUUGCCUCUGAGUUUCUGUAUUCUAUAUCCGGGAAGCAGCCCCAUGCGUGCCCUGCAAAAUUAGUAUGACUAAGAUUGUUAUUUUUGUAUAUACUUCCUUGUUAAUUGGGAUCUUUCUUAUCGACCAAAUCACCUAAUCCCAUCAAAAUUCUUUUAUGUCCUUUUCAUUGGCCUGGGUAUUUCUAGAUUUUGUAGUUAGUUCUGGAAUAUCCAUCCCUGAAAAAGGAAUGCGGUACACGUCAUUUUUACGGUAAGUUUGUUCACUUCCACGAGAGUAUGUAUUGCUCUGAUAAAACAUUGGGGGACAUCACAAAGUGUCUACUUCAAAAUCUGACAAUCUUUUGUUCAUAAGAUCCUCGUAAUUAAUUUACAUCAUCAUCGUGGUAGUACAAGUGAAACCAGCUACACACACUUGGUCGCGAGCAUAGUCGAUUUGCAUAUACACAUGUGCCUCUCAUUGACACCUUACUUGCCGGGAACGAAGUUGGUGGCAAAGGCCCACGCGUUGUUGUUGACGGGGUCGGCAAGGUGGUCAGCGAGGUUCUCAAGGGGACCCUUGCCGGUGACGAUGGCCUGAACGAAGAAGCCGAACAUGGAGAACAUGGCGAGGCGGCCGUUCUUGAUCUCCUUCACCUUGAGCUCAGCGAACGCCUCAGGGUCGUCAGCCAAGCCAAGGGGGUCGAAGCUGCCGCCGGGGUAGAGAGGGUCGACGAUCUCACCGAGCGGACCACCAGCAACACGGUACCCCUCGACGGCGCCCAUGAGCACGACCUGGCAAGCCCAGAUGGCGAGGAUGCUCUGGGCAUGGACGAGGCUCGGGUUGCCAAGGUAGUCGAGGCCGCCCUCGCUGAAGAUCUGGGAGCCGGCCUUGAACCAGACGGCCUCGCCAAACUUGACGCCGUUGCGGGCAAGCAGCUCGGGGAAGACGCAACCGAGCGCGCCGAGCAUGGCCCACCUGCAGUGGAUCACCUCCAGCUCCCGGUUCUUGGCGAAGGUCUCGGGGUCAGCCGAGAGCCCGGCGGUGUCCCACCCGUAAUCGCCGGGGAACUCACCGGUCAGGUAGCUCGGGGGUUCGCCGGAGAGCGGGCCGAGGUACAACACGCGGUCGGAGCCGUACCACGGGCUGCCUGAGGAGACCGGCUUGGCCUUGGCAACGGUCUUGCGCAUGGUGAUGCGGGCCUCUCCGAGCGCCGGCAGGUUCUUCACCGCCUUCCCGGCGAAGGUCGAGGAGGAGAGGGCCAUGGUGGCGGUCGCCAUUGAUGUACUGCUGUACCGUGCUCUCCUAAGAGUGUGAGGCUGGCUCUGGUGUGCGUGGAGAUGGUUUGAGAUGGGCAGAGGAGGUAGCUAUUUAACGGUGCUCUGUGGGUACAGAGAAGGGAAGAUGAUGAGAGAGAUGGCUAGAAAAAUCUGAAGCUGGGAUGCCAUUGGUGGAGUGGAGAUAUCGGCACAGUUGGCGCAGCGAGAGCCUCAAGCCGGUGGAGAUAGCUCAGACUUGCCAUGUGGAGAGGGGCUAUUGGGUGCCGUUGAUUUUCUCGUGGCUGAGGAUAUUGAUGUCGCUGAUAUUUUUUACUCGGACUGGAAGUUGCUGUUUUAGCCGUCAGAAGCUGUUAAAAAACGGAAACGUCGUGAAGGGGAUUGAUCGCCUCGUCUUGUGUCGUGUAUGUUUAGCAGUUGUUGUUUUCACUGUAUUUUCUUGGUCCUCACCGUAUCGUGCGUGGAUGUCGGUAAGAACCUGUAGAAAUGAAAUUCGUGUGCUUCUGCUUCUGAACCGAAACUGCGUAGUGCCAGCUACUGGAGACUGGGACUGGAGGGUGCAGGCUUGAGACGGCGUCAGUUUUGGGCCUAGUGAAACCACGAGGAGGCAUGCCUCCGCGCUCAAGCAGCCAUGGGCCUCAUUGUACUGGGUUGCGCAGCCUUUCAGAGUGGGCCGGAAGCAGGUAGAGUGCGGCUCGUUAUCUCCAGAUACGCAGCAGCCCGUCGCCCCGUCCUCAAACCGUCUAGUCAAAGGAAAAAAAAAGUCCUCAGAUGAGUCCAUCGUGCAGACAUUGGACUCUAGCUGCUCCCACCGGAUCACCGCAAAACCAAAACGAAAAACCCACGGUACCGAUCGACCUGGGCCUGCGGUACAACCAAAGCCCAAAAAGGAACCCACGGAGCGGAGCCGCCCGGGCCCUGCACGCUAUAGCAAGCAACAUCGUCCGUCCGUUUACUUUCCGAGGCCCACCUUUCCCACAGCUCAGAUCCAAAGGAAUCACACGCGCCCGAGCUCUUGAGAAUUCCAGAUCACGCAAGGGCAGCAAGGCGGCCACCGCACGGCACGGCAGUCGGCAGGCAACGCCCUUCCCGCCGUUCCGUCCGUUGGUUCCCGGGCGGGAACGUGCGCCCCCUCGUGAUCCGGCUUUUGCUUGCCCACACGCACUCCCGAGUACUCCCGGCCCGACUCAAUUAUCUUCGUCGCCUCGCUUGUCCCAUCGCUUCUCUCGCUGUCACAACCCAGUCCCUUCCGGAACGCCAAAACAGUCCAACCAACUUCGUCUUCCAGAGCUCAGCCAGCCAGCCGGCCACCACCAAGCACCAACGCCGCCCGUCCCCGCUGCUACCAUGUCCAUGUCGCUGCGCCUCGCUCUCCCCUCGUCAGCGCCCGUGCUCCCGCCGCGGGUGCCGCUGCCCGCCGGGAAUGCCGCCCGUCGCCCCUCACCCUCCCCGGUCCUCGCCACCGCCGCCGCCGCCUUGCGGACGGGCGCGCUCAGGUGGGUUCCUCUGUCCUCGCCCGGGUUUCGCGCCUGCACUGACGCCCGCGUAAUCGGCCUCGUGCUCAUGGUGAUGCGUGACUGUAUGUAUGCAGGGGAUGCGCUUCGCUGCCGCUGAAGCCGCAGCCGCCGGGCAUGAUGAUCACGGGCGCGGGCGCGGGGCGCCGGGGGUCCGCCGCCGUGUGCCGCGCGUCGUCGGCGUACCUCAGCCCGACCACCAUGCACUGGGUCUCCGCCGCGGCCACCGCGUGAGUGCCCCCCCUCCCUCACUCAAAAGUACUCUGCCUUUUUGGGUUCACCAGCUCGGCAACUGUUCGCUCUUUUGCCUGCGAGGACCGUGGCUAACUGCUAGCAUCCGACUGUAAAAUGCGGGAUCCUCGUUAUAGAUUCUGCGGUCUGUUGAUGUCGCUUGCUCAAAAAUUUCAUGGCACGCUACAGCGACAAUUGGAGUACUACUUACUUUUCUUGAUCAAUGAUCACGCGCUGCUAAUCUUUCUAUAUAGCGAGUAAAAAGGACAUCAUGCGAUGCAAAAAUAUAUGAAUGCAGAGCACCAAGGUAAUCUUUCUUCUGUAGCUGUCGAUGUCGUGACUUGAAAUAGCACCACUACUUGUUUUCUUCUUGAGGAUGAAUAGGCAUGUAAAGUUGAACACAACACAAAGUACUUUCUGCAAACUCAGCUAGUGCUGCUGCCUGGUGAAAAGUUGUGCUGUGCAGUUUAUUUGGGUUUUCAGUGAAGUGAAAUGAUUUAGAUCGCCACGUAAAUACAGUGUUAAACUCCCAGUACCCUUUAAUGAUUUAAUGAUUGUUCUUUUUGCAGGGUGCUCUUGCUUGCUAAAGGCACAGGCAUACACAAAUCUUUCCUCGUGCCCCUGUUUGCUCUUCAAGCACCUAGCAGUGUGGUCUCAUGGAUCAAGUAAGAUGCUGCUAUUUGGUGCAGAGAAUUAUCUAUACCUUUUCCUUCUCUUUGUUUCUCAUUGAUGUUUGUUCGUUUUAAAAUAAGAACACUGUCUUGAGGGCCUACUUAUUCUAUGGCAUCAAUUCCUAAUUUUAGGAGUGACUAUGGACUGUGGACUGCUUUUCUUGCUCUUUUGGUGCGCUUGUUCUUCUCCAUUCCAGGUAGUGUAAAAUAAGAUUCAUCAUAUAAAGGUUCAAGAUGGUGUAGGCUUACAGUUACUUUAUACCUUCAUAUCACUAUCACAGGUGAACUGGAGCUCCCAUUAUCAGCAAUGCUGCUUCUGAACGUUGCUCCUUACCAGAUGAUGAAUCUGAGGUACAUCACAGUAUCACAUUGCACUGUUUGGAAAUAAGAUCUUAGCAUCACUAGAACUAGUGCAUCUGUCAAAAUUGAAUUCUAUGAAAAUAUCACCAUGGCAUUAUUAAUAACUCGUAUUAAUAUAUCGAUGUUCUCAAUGAAACUAACUUGAGUUACCAUCUCGCUAUCAUGUUUCUGUACACUACUGUGUCAUAUGUGAAUAGCAGCAAGUACAUCCAACUGACUAUUCAGGAACCACUCCAUAGAGUAUUUUAGGUUUUCAGUUUAUGUCCUGAUUCUGAAAAUUGUCAUUUACCUUUUUGCUCAUGUGCUCACUUUCCAUGUACAGGGGAACUCAAGGUGGUGCGAUAGUGUCUCUGGCACUAGCAGCGUAUCUUGCCUUUCAGCACUUCACCCGGGCCGGAGGUUUGGGGAGAGCCUUUGAUCAGGGAUCGAUAAUUGCGACCUUGGCCAUCAUCUGCGUCACAGUUAUCAACGUGAUCCUGCUGUUCUGAGUUGGAUCAAGUUGGCAAGAGUUCGCUGCCCCUCAUUGUAGGUGUGGAGGGGGAGCAGGAGGUACUCAGGAGUGCAGAUAAAUAAAACCUUGUAAUGCAUCAUCCUGACAGACUUCCAAGCCCGUUUCAUCGUAAUAAGAAUCUUUACUGCUACUUAACUUGCAGUUGCGUCCGUGGUGGCUCGUACGUCGUCCCAACUUCACAGAAAUUACGUCUCUAUGCCACCGUCCGAACUCCGAUUUGUUUCUUCUCUUUCGUGUUCUCGUGUCUCGCCCAGCCCGCUGCCCACGCGCCACCGCUCCUCCUGCCCUGCGCGCCGCUGCCACCACCCACCUGCCUCUCCUCGCGCUCCUCCUCUGCUCGCACCGCCACCGCCCCGAUCUCUCUCUGCCAGCGUUGUCUCCUCCUCCUCCUCGCACACACCCGCCCAGAUCCACCUCCACCUCCUCGCACACGGCCCGCCCUGAUCCACCUUCUCCUCGCGCGAGGCCGAGGAGCGCGAGGAGGAGGCCGAGAUGCGCGCCGAGGCUGCCGCCCGCCAGGCCGAGAUCCGCCUCCUCCUCAUUGUGCUGCCGCCGUGGGAGAGCCGUCCUCCGCCGCGCCGCGUCCCCGUGACGCCACCUGCUCUCCCCCUUCUCAACGCAUCGAGUGCCCGAUGCCGCCAGCCGAGGCAAGGGUGCUCGAGACGUCCGCGAUGACUGCUUCGAAGUGGGAGGCAUCAAUAUUGUGUGGUAAGGUGAGUUCUCGAUUACUGCUUCCCCAUCCUCUUGUGUAGAAAAAUCUUUGUUUCACUAUUCUUUGAUAAGUAUGUGUGAGUGUGUCUUAAUGGUUUCUUCUGUUGGCUCUUUGUAGACUCUAGCUCUUUGUAAUCUUUUGUGCUUUAUGGAAUCCAGUAGAAAAAUCGGCAUUAGGCUGAUUUUAACUGAUAUUUCAAUCUCUUUCAUGCCUUUUAUGUUUGUAUUUUCCUGAUUACUAAUGGUUCACUAGCGUCAAUUCCAUCCGGUUAUUUAAUCAAACAAUAGCAUCUGUAUCAUUGUUUUCUCUUUCACUUUUGCUUGUUUUAUUAGUCUGUCCUAUAUGUGCUAAUGCUAGAGCUUGAAGUCUCUGCUACUGGAUAUUGGCAUUGAAAGAGCAACAGGAAUUGUCUGGUCUAUCACUGGAGGCAAUGAUAUAACUUUGGUGGAGGUAUUCCUGACGUGUGUGUUUUUUCUGCAUAUAAACUACAGUGUGUGUGGGUAUACAUAGCUACCAUCAAAGUUUGUUUCCUACAUGUUAGUGAGAAUCGAAAAUUGCUGGCUUUCAUAGCUCCCUGAAAGUUAAUACAUUUUGAUCCAAUUGGAUAUAUGUGUGAAGUUAUAUGUGAACUGAAUCCAGUAUUAUUGAUUCACUUUCAGGUGAAUGCAUCAGCUGAAGUUAUAUAUGAUCUUGUUUUUCUUUUUUGAGGGAUUAUAUAUGAUCUUGUUGAUCCUAUUACAAAUAUGAUAUUUGGCUCUGUUUUAGACCCAUCAUAUGCUGGUCAAGUAAGUUAACAAAGCAUUUGGUCAAGUAAGUUGACUUGUCAUAUGAAAUCUCAUCUUUUGACUGUACAGCCUGAACUUCUAAUACAACGGCAUCCAUGCGGGGAAGAUGAAUAUGUGAAGUCAGUGGCCGAGUUAAUUGAGAAGGAGCUAUCAAUUUUUACAAAUUCUGAAGAGGUCUGUGCAUUCCCUUCUCCCUCUUUUUGUUUUUCCUUUACUAUUUUUUGUUCAUCAAAUGACUUUCUAUUCGAUUUUUGGUAAAGUAGAAGGUAACAACUGUUGUAGAUUGAACAUUAUCUUAGUGUUAGGCAUCCUGUUGAAUAUCUCUUAAAUAAGUAUCCCAUCUACUGAAUGAUCUAUCUGCGGUCCGUCCUGGCAUUCAUUUGCUUGUCUCCUUUUGUGAUGAUGCAGCGAAUUGAGGAAUCAACAGAUGAUUUUUUUCUGUAUUACAUUUAGUUGCUCUUUGCAUGAUUCCUUUUUUUUACCAGCUUUGCAUGAUUCUUUUGGCAUGGAUGUUGACUGGGAGAUGAAAAAUAUACUUCAUCCAGGUUGAAAAGACAAACAUGGUUCUCCUACUGUGCUCCGUUUUCCAUAUUGUCGUAAUAACACCAAUAUACUGAUAACUAAACCCACUAGAGAGAAAUGUUUAUUAUAAAUGUUUUAAGUUUAAUUCGCUAAACAAUCUGAAAAUUAUGUACAAUCUGUAUAAGUUGAGAUAUAUUAGAAUAGUUUGAUGAGCUAUCAUAACGAUCCAUCUUAAUUAGGACCAAGACUUUAGCUGGUUACCUAGGUUACCUGUAGUCAAAAUUGUUUAAGGCAAAUUGUAUCAAGGUUUGAUGGUUAGAUUGACACUCCAAUUGUUUCUGUUCAUAGAUCUAUCAUCUACAAAUACUUCUUGUGUUGCAGGUUAUGAGCUAUGGCAAUCUUCGUAGAGUUCAAAUGUUGUGGUUCGAUACAGAACAGAAAAAAGAAGUCUCUUUUCCUCUCAAGAUGAGAGUAAGUAUCGGCAAAAAAUAAUAAUCUCUUCGUAGCGAUGCAAUUUCUUAUCACUCAGUCAUGAUGCAUAUAAGAGUAAGGGGAAUGGGCUGAUUUUGUGUAUAUUCUACAUUUUACUUUUCAGUAGUAAUUAGAUGAUUUAUGAUUUUCUUACAUCUCUCAAGGGAAGAUGUUGAGGGAGACCAUAAGGACACUACACAUUAUGUUGCGAAGAUAAUAUUGCUUUCCUGCUCUUAACACAGGACACCAGAGCAUGCAUUACAAAAUAAAUAUUCGAUGAGGUAUGGACGGUUGUCUUGAUGUGUUUAAUUUUGCAUUCUUUCCAAUAAUUUUGUUGGAGAACACGAGUGUCUUGACUUGUUUCGGUACUCCAACAUGGAUGCUUUGUGAUAUUUACAAUUGUGAGAAGAGGAUCCAUGGCCAAGUUCUUCGAUAAUAAUCGUUCAUGUGGAAUUUUGGAUUGUAUAUUGGUCCAUUGUAUUUUUUUUCCUCUCAUAUUGUCACAAUUAUUGAUUAUAUGACUUGGACUAUGUACAUGUUCAUAAGCAGUGGUGUCUCCUUAUCUGAUGAGGAUGACCAUGCAUCAAUUUUUCAUGUUUGUCAUUCUUCUUGUUAAGUUCUAGAAUGCUCAUUUUUCCGUUGCAACGCACGGGCACUUAACUAGCAAGAAUGAUUUGUGAGUUGUGACAUGGCUGACAGAUCUUCAUGUAUGGUAUAGUUUUGGUCUAUUAGUGUUCAGUGCUAUUCUAUGAUUAAUAUUUGCUCCCGUUUGUUGAUCUUAUUGUUGGAUUUUGCACCAAGAUUUUGGUGUCAACAGGUCUCAGCAGAACGUUGGCUACCGACAGAUAACACAGGGCAAUUGGUCUAGAUUCUGUCAUACUUGUAUACCUUUUCUACUCCCUCUAGUCCAUAAUAGGCGCUUGGGUUUUGUACUAACUUAUUAUGGAUCGAAGAGAGUAUAAAAUAACUUCUAGCAUAGGGUCACGGACCUCGCCAAGACUGUGACGAGCCUAUGGGUCCGCUGGAUCUGAAGGAUGCGGAUUGACCCACUUCGUUUUUUGUGUGGCCUCGGUUGUGAUAUCCUCGCCCAAGCUCAAUAGAUUGAUAGAAAACCUUUGCUAACAAGGUGCAUCUUCUUUUCUGGAAUCUCGUCUCAAUAAAACAUCUCGGUUCAGCGUGCUUAGCUUGAAGCAAUAUUGGUUUGGCGACCUUGUGGGGCCAGUCUAGAGCAUAGAGAGCUACGAGGAAUAACUACUUGGUUGGGUGAGUUGACCGACGGAGCAGGAACCUCCGUCCAUAUAUGAGGCACUCUUGCAUUACUAGAUUCUCAAUUUAAUUAAUUAAAUAUGUAUGUUUUUUAACAAAAAAAAACACCAUUAGUCCUUAUCAAAAGAACUUUCUAAUGAUUUUUUUAUUAUUUAGUUUAUAUUUAUUUAGCUAAAUUGACAAUCUAGUGAUGCGUGUGUGCCUCAUAUUAUGGGACGGAGGGAGUAAGCUCCUUAUUAACAGACUUCUGGUUAUGUUCCAGAUCUUGUUGCUGGCUCCUCUUACGGAGUUAUGGCAUCAAACUCUCGAAGCUGAAUUGGAAAUCAUGGGCUCCUAGUGGGUGAAGUUUUUCAUUUAUCUCUCUUGUUAGAACAUUGUUGGAUGACUGAGAGGGUGCCAAGAUGUCUGCGGCAACACGCCUUGAGGUGCUUGUUGUGCGACCAAUCAUUACAUCAUGGAUAGGGGCGGAGCCAUGAAAAAUUUGUAUGGGGACCAAGGUACAAAAAUACAUAGCUUAUAGUAUAAAAAACAUGUUGGUCCUGUGGCUCGGUCAUUUACCAUGGAUCAUUUCCUUACCAGAUACGCGCACCCUCUACGUGAUGUGUUGUUAUCGAUCUGAUCCGUUGCUGGUCCCUCUGUAGCGAAGACGUGUUUGUUAAAUGGUGGCACUUGAUUGUGCGGUACUUCUUGAGUGCCUCACGAAAGGUCACCUCGUCGAUCAUUUUGCUCAUGGCGUGGUGGAUCCAUAAGUACCGUCACGCAAUCGUCUUCGACAAUAUUUGACCCGACUUGAAUUGAGGCUAGUUAUAGCGUGAUUUCAUAAAAUUUCAAACUGAAUUCUUAUACCUAAUUCUGUGCCAAACAAGUUCAUUCUAAAAUCGUAUGAAAAUUUGAGAAUUAUAGAUCGAAAUGGCAGAUGCGAGUUUUUUUUUUUUAAACUUAGAUGCGAGUUGUCUGGCUGUCUUUUUUGCACAUGGGCCAGACAGAGCUAAUUUAUUUUCCUUGACACGCCCUCUCUCUUCUGCCCAUCUCGGUGCCGAGCGCCCCAGCCCCCUCGCUCCGUCGGUCGUCUUCCUCCUCGAGCGCCGCCACCCCUUCCUCUCCAUCCCGCUGCCGAGCGGCCCCAGCCCGUCUUCCUCCUCGCGCGGGCGUGUCCACCGCAGGUUGAUCUCCCCUUCGAUUCUUCCGCUCCCGGCCGUUUCUCCUCCCAUCACCCCACGAACGGAUCCCGCACCUUUAGCUCCCCGUUUCAUCUCCUUAAUCUUCCCCCAAUUCGUAACUGAGGGGAAAAUCAAGGUAGGGCGGGGCCGCCCUACUGGGUCCUCCGCCCGUGACGUCUGUUCCAGUACUAUUGUGUUACAUCGAGUGUAAUUUUGCCUGGUUAUUUGACCUGGAUUGUUGGAUUGUUGGAUUGAAUAGUAGUACUUCACAGCCGUGUUUUCUAGCAAGGUCAACAUCUCCUUUCCUGUUACUGAGCGUGCAAUCUGGGUUAUCGUAAAUUUCCGUAAGUGGAGAUAUUUGAAUAGUUCAGUUUGGCUUUGUUACUUAUGUACUGGAAAACCUCGUGCGUGCCAACAAACUAAUUCAAAACAUGUAUGUGAUAUACAAACUCUUUCUUCGCGGUAUAUGCAAUAUUGCAGUUUUUUUCAUGGGGUUUGUGUGGUACGUCAUAAAUCUUAAGUGACUGGACUUGUUAUGUACUUAUGUCAUUUAGCAUUUUUGUUUUACCAGAGUGUGGUAAAUCAUCAGUGCUGUAUUUAUACUUUCUGGAUUCAUUGACAUUGAGUACCUGGAAGUCUUGGGAGCAAUUUAUGGCAUUUAUAUAGUAGUACAUGUUGAUCUUCAUUCAUUCAGUCCUCUGAACUGUUAAGAACAAUGGCCUUGUCCAAAAGAUUCCCACCUUUUCAGUUUCAAUGUGUCCCACUCUUAGUACCCGACCGGCCUACUAUCUUGGUGUAAGAUAUACCAAACCAAUGUUAAGUUCAACGUUAGGACUUAGAACAUACUUCUGAGACCUGUUAAAGAACUGGGCCUGUAAACUUGGCAUCUGGUUCUUUUUUCCACACACAAAAAAUAAACAAUUGAGAUACCCAUGAAUGGUUUGUGCACUAUCCAUCUCUCCCUUUUUCAAAAGAUAAAUUUUGUGCAUGUCCUUUACAUUGGUUCCCUAGUACUCCCUCCGUUUCAUAUUAAAUGACUCAAAUUUGUCCAAAUAUGGAUGUAUCUAUGCCUAAAAAGCGUCUAGAUACAUGUAAUAGAAAGUCACUUAAUAUGGGACGGAGGGAGUAGUUACUUAUGCUAACAUGUUCAUCAUAACUGCUACAUUAUGGUUCAAAUGUGAAUAUAUUUUCCAGAAUAUGUUUCAGAUUUCCUCUCCAAUUUAUGUAUGUACUGCUGUGUAUGUAUGCUAAAUAUUUGGUGGCUUUGAGAUUAGUUAGCUGAUAAGAAAUUGAUCUCCUUGUAGCUUGUUUGGGCAUCUGUUCGUGCAGUAUGUCGGGGAAGCCAUCUGAUGAUAUGGCUGGUCAAGUGAGGCCUGAAGGAGAUGUUUCAGACGUGAAAGUAGAAACUGCCAACCAGAAUAAAGGAACUGAUAUGCCUUCACCACAGGAAGAGGUAUCAUCUUUUGUUAACAAUCGUAACGUUUAUUUAUCCUUUAGCAUUUAUGUAUACUUACAUGCUAUCAUUUGUAUUAUUUUGCUAAUUUAGCUUACAUUUUAAGACUGCCAAUAUUAUAUCCAUAACCACGAUGUAACUUAACCGGAUACUUGCAGGAGGCAGCAAUCAAGAAAAAAUAUGGUGGAGUACUGCCCAAAAAGUCACCACUUAUAUCCAAGGUAUCAAUGGCUUAGUAUAUUACUACGUUCUGCCAUAUAUACAAUUUCAUCAUCUGUUUAUAAAGCAGUAAGGGAAGUUAAAUUAUUUUUAGCUCCAUAUCCAUAUAAUUUCAUCUGCAUUAUGUCUAUCAGGAUCAUGAGCGAGCUUAUUUUGAUUCUGCUGAUUGGGCUCUGGGCAAGGUAUCGUACUGUUAUUUUGAAAAGCUAAAAGUAAAACUGAUAUUUGGAAGCAAUGUUAACUCUUACACUACAAUCUUGCUCCCUUGAUCCUUGGUUUCCUGCAGCAAGGAGGACAUCCUAAACCUAAAGGACCACUUGAAGCACUUCGACCAAAAUUACAGGUACUGACUGAAACUCUCCCUCAUUGCUUGGUACUCAUGAGAAUGUACUUGCCUUGUAUUUUGCUACCGUAGAGACUUAAUUUUUCUAUGGCAUUAGCUGCUAGCUGUUUGAUUAGGGUAUUUGGUGUUUUUUCAUUCUAAUAAUCAAUAGAGUUCAUGUCCAUAUUUUUUCUGUUGUUUGGCCCAGUAUUUAAACUGGAUUGAGUUUAAAUGAAAAGUCCCCUUCAUUGUUGUCUUUUUUUUUUUUGCUUAAGAGGCUCAUUUGUAGGCGAAUGUAGUGAUAGUUAUGAAGUUAACUUAUGCUAUACCAUACUCAUUUGUUGGCUUACAUCUUUAUCAAUUUUGUUACAGCCUACUCAACAGCAAGCCCGUUCACGUCGAUUUCUUCAUGCAUCUGCUGACAAUGAAGGUACUUGAUGUUACAAGAUGUCAAGCAAGAAAUCCUAAAUGUUUAUUUUGUCAUCGAUUCAAGCGUCACUUUUGCCUUGCAGAGGGGGGCAAUUCACCCACUGAGGCUACGAGCCAGAACCAGGAUUCCACCGAGGGCAAGGACGAGAGCAAGGAAUGAGUACAUGACGAGUAGCUCCAUGUUUUUUCCCAAACUGAACCAUGCCGUUUGAUAAGCCCGCGCCAUUUUGUGGCUGUAGUAAUAAGUACUCUAAUGCCCCUUAAUGCUCGCUGAAUUUUGAACCGCAUUGGAGACAUGCCGCGUCUACUGCGUUCUGCUGUUCCAUGUCUUGUACCUGUAACGAUUUGUGAUGGAAUUUGGAACAUUUUCGUGGCACUGAGUGUCUGCGCAGACAAAAUAAAAAUGUGAGCCUGUGAGAUGUUUCUUCCUUGUGCCACUACUGAUGAGUAGAACCAGAUUCCCUGAAACAAAAAAGAUGAGUAGAACCAGAUUCUUCUAACCUGCGGUGCUUGUUUCUUCUGGUGCUGCGCUGAGACGGUUCAUGUCUGAUGUUCGAAACCUGGGUGCCUGGCAAUAUCUGAACUAUUGAUGUUUUCCCGACUGCUGUAGGUUACGUAUUAUAUUUGAAUUUCAUAGGAUUUCAAGAGUUAUCAUGUAGGAGUAACUCAGUUUGGCGCUAUGGGAGUUUGUUGUCUUUGGACUCGUAGUUUUGCGAAAUUGCUGAUUUUCAAACAUGUUCCUUGACGAAUUUUCGAAACACAGUCCCAUCAUCGAAUCAAACAAAAACUGGAGCAAGCAUUGCUCUUUUAUUUUUGGAGAGGGGAUCAAGCAUUGCUAAUCGCCACCAAUCUGGAUGAAUCUCUGGAGUUUGACACGCCCUGGUCAAGCAUGUUGAGGAACCAACGACGGGGUGGGGUGGCCACCGAGUCGUGCACCCCCACCAAUCCCCCUGUUGACUCAUUUCUCCAUCUAAUAGUUUGUUGUGGACUCUUAUUCAUUGAGCCUAUAUAAAGAAGAGGAGGCUACCCCUCGUACGUACACUUGAGAUCAGAAAUUAAUAAAGAGCUCAUGUUCCUCUCUACUUGGUGUUCAUCUACUUUACUGUACUUCAUGAUUGUGCGUGUUUGAUUAGGAUCUUGGUGUGCAACCUCAGGACCGGUCAGCCGGCAAGAGUUGCACAACACGUUAUCAGCACGAGUCUCUACCCCCAGCCUUCAUCGAGCCUACUCCACGCAGGCUCUCGACAUAAAUCACGGAGGUAUUGGAUCCGAAAUUUUAUUGCAAAAAUGGAUUCCUCUUUGUGUUACGAUUCCGUUUUUGCUAUUAGAUUAUCUUUCGGAUUUUUCUACCCACGGUAUGGAAUUCCCUCGCGAGAUGUUGCCGACCAAGUCGCCGGCCAAUGCCGAUCAUCCUCGCCGCAGGAGGGACUUGUUGACCAUAACCAUGGGGAGACGGUGUCGCACUGUUGUGCUCACCGCCGGCCACCGCAGGCUCCAUGCCGCGAGCCGUCCCAAGCCACCCCAUGGAGCCGCUGCAGUGGAGCACGCCGUCGAGCGCUGCUCCUAGGCGCUGGCCUGGCCGCUGCUCCGAAGUCGUCACCUCACGCACGACGCCGCACCAGCUGCUUCAAUGCACGAGCGCUGCCCUCUGGAUGUGCGCGGGCUGCUGCAAGCACUGGCCGUGCGGGAACUGCCGCUGGCCACGAGCACCUCCGCUGAGUGCCGCUGCUAGAUAUCGCGCCUCGCCAACGCUGCCGCCAGACAUGUUUGGGCGUGUGUCGCCGCGUGCCCCCGCGUGCACUGCAGUCCCGAUGCCAUCGAACCGGUGGCCGUCAGGCUCCGCCGCGUUGGUGCGAGGCCUCGCUGCGCACCCCUGCUGGCGCUGCCGGCCCUGGACGCGCGCACCGCCCGGGCCGCCUCAGGAGCGUGCCAGGCACGAGCGCGUGCCGCCGCCGCCGUCCCCACCUUGUGCGCAGGCUGCCGCUCAGGCACCGCCGCCGCGCCUCGACAACCCCCGUGCGCGGGGCCGCCGCCGUCGCUCCAUUUGCGGGCACGAGCGCGCGGGCGCAGGCCGCCACUGAUGCCGCCUCAGUCGCGGGCACAGGCCGCCGCCGCCACCCAAGGAGAAACCCUAAUGAGGGCUGGCGCGGCUGGGCUGGGCCAGGCGAGGCAGGGAGUUGGGCCACCGGCCCAAUAGGCGAGCGGGCGGGCCAGAUUCGGUCUGGGAUGGUAGAUUUGCAUUUCGGCCCUUGGUCUUUCUGUAAUUAAGCGCAUUGUUUACUGUGCUGCGUUUUGCGACUAAGGCCUUGGAAUUGUCAGUUUUGGCUGAAAUCUCGUAUUUUGGCUCAAAAUGGCUUCAGGAAUGUGUUUUUGGGGCUAAUUUUCAUGUUUAGGAAACGUUUAACUUGCCAUCUCUAUGCACAUGCUUGUAUUACCAUGUUUUACCGUUGUUGAUUAAUUGUAAAUAUGCUUUAUUGCUUUUAAUUAUUAAGUAAGACAUGAACUCGUAUGUUUUAAAUAUUGGAACGUUGUUAUGAACAACUAUAUCAUUUUAUCACAUUUAUGCGCUGGGUUACAUGAGGUUACCUCGAGAUUAUAUGUUGAAAUCUCGUAAAAUUUCGCAUUAAUGAUAUGAAUCACAAACCUGCAGUUCGAGGAGCCGACCUAAAAUGGUUGGACUUGAUUUUUGGAUGUGGAUUUGUUCUCGGAGCUUGGUAGCUUUUGAGGAGGUUGAUCGGCUUGGUGUCUUGUUGACUACCGCCACCACCCUGCGAGGAGAACAUUUAGGCAUUGCACCAUCCCUUUGUACUUUUGGACAAGUACAUACAUGUUGGGAAAGUGUUAUGCUUUACCAGAUGGUCCUGGUUCCACAUGUGUUGUUCAUCCUCGCAUGUCAUAAGUAUUUUCAGGUUAUGUAAUAGCGCGAGGUUUAACCUCGCUAUAACUCAGAGGGGGAGGCGCAAAAUGGAAGCACUAACUGAUUCUAUUAAGCUUGGCCAACCCCCGUUGAGUUUGUGCUAUGUGUGCUUUCACACACGUCUCUCCCGACUAUUGCUACCGUGAUAGCUGAUAAUGGGAUGAGGCCAUGCCGAACUGUGACAUAUGCGGAGGAUGAGGACACCAUCGUCAAGUGCACUUGGCCCUCCUAAUGAUUCAUUUGUCAAUUGAUUUUGAUGAUUCUAUGAUAUAAAAUCACCUGAGGUGGUUGUAUAUGCUCUGAGCAAGCAAAACUUGUUCUUUCAACGCUAGGAUGAUUUGUGAGUUCAUCCAUUAAUUCCUUUAUUUAAUACUGAUGGCCUGUUAUGUUCUGAAAUAUGUAAUGCAUUUACUUAAUUAUGUUGCUACUUCCUCGCUUCAUAAAAUAAUUAGAUGCUAUAUUUUAGAACACGUGGCGCUCGAAUGGAGGAAACAUGCCUUGUGGAUAGUUGUACCACAAACACCAUCUUGAGAGAAACUCAUUAUUUCGAGUCCAUUAAAAAGAUUCCGAGGAGUAUAAUGACUAUCGUAGGGGGCGAGUCAAAAAUAGUAGGCUCUGGACGAGCCACUAUCAUACUCCCCAUGGGAACCACUUUCCUCAUUGAGGAAGCAUUAUUGUACUCAGAGUCGACUCGGACUCUCUUGAGUUUUAAGGACAUCCGCGCAAACGGCCUCCAUGUGGAGACCGAUGAUGAUAAUGGCAAAGAGUGCCUACUUAUCACAAAGCGCGAUGCCCACGGUAAGCACGUUGUUG